CUCUGAAAAGAGUUACUUAUUCUUCUGUUCGGCGGUAAAUAGAACUCGAAAUUAUAAUGCGGGUCAAUCGGUCAGUCUAACCCAAAUUGACGAGUCAUGUGGCACCGCAUUAAUAAUAAGCUUGACCAAGUCGUUGAAUACACAAAGAUCAUUCGUAUAAAUUGAUACUAUAAACACCGCUCCUAAUUAUAGAUAUACGUAUAUUAUAAAUGACGUGUCCACGUAAUGAUAUUAGAGUCGAGGACUGCAGAACUAUAGAACUUGGAAGUCCGCUGAUGAUCGUUAUAAUGGCUAUAUUUUUAUGCUUCUUGAUUACUCUACGACGAUAGCCAACGCCGACCAGUUGCAAAUAUGAUAUUCCAAGAUUUAAACCGAAUAUAUUUUCAUUGAUCACGAUAUACUUGGAUACGAAAUAUAAUGGACGAACUGAGUCUUUGUGACUGGGUCACUUUGUGCAGCGUUUUAGCUGGUAUAGUUAUAUUUUUUAUAAUCCGGUACCUGGGGAAUCUCGAGCCCGUUUAAUCGGCAAGUCUAAAGAUCGCUAAACGGUGACAAUGACUUCCAAAACUAUCAGAGGAUCAAAAUAGUGAUGAUGUUCGUACCUGCACCUGAAACUGACAAUGAGCAGACGUUUAAAAAAUCGAUUCAAACUCGUAAGAGGAAAAGAAUAUAACUUGACGAGCGUCGGGGUUGACCUCGGGCUGGAUAAUGAACAUCUUGCAAUGCACUUAUAUGAAUUCGGAGGAUAUACUCACCCAACUCUGUGAUCUUGAGAAUAGAACAGAAGAAAUACCAGGAUGCGAACAUGCCUCGGUAA
rnacentral:lncRNA from 1 species